UUAAGGUAAUACAAUUUCUCAAUUUAUAAGGAAUAUAUUAAAAAUCUUUUCAAGAAAAUUUUAAUUUAUAUUUUGUAAAAAUCUAAAUCAAGUUAGGAUAAAUAAUAAAUUAAUUUUUUUUUAAGGAACUCGGCAAAAUAAAAUAUCGACUGUUUACCAAAAACAUAGCCCUCUAAAAUAUUGAAGGUGAAACCUGCCCAAUGAUAUAAAAAUAAUUAUAACCUAAUUUAAAUAAUAUUAAAUGGAUGCAGUAACUCUGACUGUAAUAAAGUAGCAUAAUUAGUUGUCAUUUAAUUGAUGGAGAGAAUGAAUGGUUACACGAAUUUUUCACUGUCUUAAAAAAAAUUUUUUAAAAUUGAAAUAAUAGUUAAGAUGCUAUUUAAAAUUGUAAGACGAAGAGACCCUAUAGAGCUUUACUAUAAACUUUUUUCUUAAAAAUAAUAUAAAAUUAUUAAAACUAGAAAGUUUGGUAGUUUAGUUGGGGCGACUGUUUUUUAAAAAUAACAAAAAUAAGCAAUAUAAUAAAUUUAUUUAUUGUAUAAUUAAACAAUUUAACAAUUACUAUAGUAGGCUAUAAUGACCCGUUAUUAUAAUAAAUAAUAAAUAACGAUUAAUUGAUAAAAGCUACCUUAGGGAUAACAGGAUAAUUUUGUUUUAGAGUCCUUAUCAAAAACAAAGUUUGUCACCUCUAUGUUGAAUUAAGAUAUCCUAAUAAUGCAGUAGUUAUUGAGGGUAGGUCUGUUCGACCUUUAAAAUCUUACAUGAUUUGAGUUCAUUCCGUCGCAAGACAGGAAGGUUUCUAUCUACAAUUAUAAAAUUACUUUAGACUUUUAGUACGAAAGGAAUAAAGUUUCACUUAGUUAAUUAAAAAAACUAAUAAAAAAAUUUUGAAAGAAUCUAAAAAUUUAAAGUAAUUAUUUAAUAA
rnacentral:rRNA from 1 species